UGCAGGAACGUCAUUUCCUUGUUACCGGAAGCACAGGGCACAGCCGCACUCGGGUAGAGACUGUGCUGCAUUGUCGCCAGGGUUUUCAGGUAGAGAUGUAGUCUAACGAGUGGUAACUAUCUAAAAGCAUGGAAGACCUGACUGACUUCUUGAGACGAAGAGAAGUCUCUGAGGAAAUAAUACAAACCCUGGAGAAUGAGAAGUGAAUUAUUUUUCCCUCUGUAGAUCGAUGCCAGUGUUAUAAAUCUGAUGUCAGAUGAGGAGCUGAAGACUUAUCUACCAUCAUAUGGUGAUCGCCUUGCAGUAUUUGGAUUUUGCAGACGGCAGGGCAACAGCCGAAAGUCGACGCUUUUUGAACGUCUGAAAACCAAAUUGUCCAAAAGAAAAACAUCUGAAGAUGGCAGCAGCA